UGGGGAAUAUUGGGCAAUGGGGGAAACCCUGAUGCAGCAACGCCGCGUGAGCGAAGAAGGCCUUCGGGUCGUAAAGCUCUGUCCUAAGGGAAGAAAAGGACGGUACCUUAGGAGGAAGCCCCGGCUAACUACGUGCCAGCAGCCGCGGUAAUACGUAGGGGGCGAGCGUUAUCCGGAAUCACUGGGCGUAAAGGGUGCGUAGGCGGCUCUACAAGUCAGGGGUGAAAGGCUACGGCUUAACCGUAGUAAGCCUUUGAAACUGUGGGGCUUGAGUGCAGGAGAGGAGAGUGGAAUUCCUAGUGUAGCGGUGAAAUGCGUAGAUAUUAGGAGGAACACCAGUGGCGAAGGCGGCUCUCUGGACUGCAACUGACGCUGAGGCACGAAAGCGUGGGUAGCGAACAGG
rnacentral:rRNA from 2 species